AUUGAACGCUGGCGGCAGGCAUAACACAUGCAAGUCGAGAGAGAGGCGGACGGGUGAGUAAUGUCUGGGAAACUGCCUGAUGGAGAGGGAUAACUACUGGAAACGGUAGCUAAUACCGCAUACCAUAAGAUGGGCCGAGAUGGGAGUAGCUGGUAGGUUGGGUAACGGCUCACCUAGGCGACGAUCCCUAGCUGGUCUGAGAGGAUGACCAGCCACACUGGAACUGAGACACGGUCCAGACUCCUACGGGAGGCAGCAGUGGGGAAUAUUGCACAAUGGGCGCAAGCCUGAUGCAGCCAUGCCGCGUGUGUGAAGAAGGCCUUCGGGUUGUAAAGCACUUUCAGCGGGGAGGCGUUACCCGCAGAAGAAGCACCGGCUAACUCCGUGCCAGCAGCCGCGGUAAUUC
rnacentral:rRNA from 1 species